GAAGAACUAGGUAAGCUAGCUAAAGAGGAUAAAGAUCCCUUGAAAGACAGCUAACAGAAGAAUGACACUGACGGUUUUUUGCGCGACGCCCAACCUCAGAGUUGCAGCAAGAACAAACUAUACCAGAUCCCUGCUUAUAACCGACAAGCAAUUUCUUUCCACGAGAAUAAUAAGCAACUUCAGUCCCAUCGGGCAGUCCACCUUCCUCAAAAACCAACCAAUGCAUUUUCUGAUCCUUCUUUGUAAUUUUCCAUUGGGUCCUAGAGUGUACUGAAACACCAAGAGAACCAAUUGUUGAGGAAUUUGAAGUUUUUUGAGAUCUUGCUCU
rnacentral:misc_RNA from 1 species